rnacentral:rRNA from 1 species
AGAUUGAACGCUGGCGGCAUGCCUUACACAUGCAAGUCGAACGGCAGCACGGGAGCAAUCCUGGUGGCGAGUGGCGAACGGGUGAGUAAUAUAUCGGAACGUGCCCAGUCGUGGGGGAUAACGUAGAGAAAUUUACGCUAAUACCGCAUACGAUCUACGGAUGAAAGCGGGGGAUCGCAAGACCUCGCGCGAUUGGAGCGGCUGAUAUCAGAUUAGGUUGUUGGUGAGGUAAAAGCUCACCAAGCCGACGAUCUGUAGCUGGUUUGAGAGAACGACCAGCCACACUGGGACUGAGACACGGCCCAGACUCCUACGGGAGGCAGCAGUGGGGAAUUUUGGACAAUGGGCGAAAGCCUGAUCCAGCAAUGCCGCGUGCAGGAAGAAGGCCUUCGGUUGUAACUGCGUUUGUACGGACGUAACGGUACUUUACUAAUAAGAAGGACUAAUGACGGUACCGUAAGAAUAAGACACCGACUAACUACGU